rnacentral:rRNA from 1 species
GACGAACGCUGGCGGCGUGCUUAACACAUGCAAGUCGAACGGAAAGGCCCUGCUUUUGUGGGGUGCUCGAGUGGCGAACGGGUGAGUAACACGUGAGUAACCUGCCCUUGACUUUGGGAUAACUUCAGGAAACUGGGGCUAAUACCGGAUAGGAGCUCCUGCUGCAUGGUGGGGGUUGGAAAGUUUCGGCGGUUGGGGAUGGACUCACGGCUUAUCAGCUUGUUGGUGGGGUAGUGGCUUACCAAGGCUUUGACGGGUAGCCGGCCUGAGAGGGUGACCGGCCACAUUGGGACUGAGAUACGGCCCAGACUCCUACGGGAGGCAGCAGUGGGGAAUAUUGCACAAUGGGCGGAAGCCUGAUGCAGCAACGCCGCGUGCGGGAUGACGGCCUUCGGGUUGUAAACCGCUUUCGCCUGUGACGAAGCGUGAGUGACGGUAAUAGGUAAAGAAGCACCGGCUAACUACGUG